rnacentral:rRNA from 1 species
GCAUAUCAUAGCGAGAAAGAAACUACAAGGAUUCCCCUAGUAACUGCGAGUGAAGCGGGAAAGCUCAAAUUUAAAAUCUGGCAGCCUUUGGCUGUCUGAGUUGUAAUCUAGAGAAGUAUUAUCCGCGCUGGACCGUGUACAAGUCUCCUGGAAUGGAGCGUCAUAGAGGGUGAGAAUCCCGUCUUUGACACGGACUGCCAGGGCUUUGUGAUGUGCUCUCAAAGAGUCGAGUUGUUUGGGAAUGCAGCUCAAAAUGGGUGGUAAAUUCCAUCUAAAGCUAAAUAUUGGCGAGAGACCGAUAGCGAACAAGUACCGUGAGGGAAAGAUGAAAAGAACUUUGGAAAGAGAGUUAAACAGUACGUGAAAUUGCUGAAAGGGAAACGCUUGAAGUCAGUCGCGUUGGCCAGGGAUCAACCUUGCUUUUUUGCUUGGCUUACUUUCUGGUCGAUGGGUCAGCAUCAAUUUUGACUGGUGGAAAAAGUUCAAGGGAAUGUGGCAUCUUCGGAUGUGUUAUAGCCUUUGUUCGCAUACAUCGGUUGGGAUUGAGGAACUCAGCACGCCGCAAGGCCGGGUUUUUAACCACGUACGUGCUUAGGAUGCUGGCAUAAUGGCUUUAAUCGACCCGUCUUGAAACACGGACCAAGGAGUCUAACAUGCCUGCGAGUGUUUGGGUGAAAAACCCGAGCGCGUAAUGAAAGUGAAAGUUGAGAUCCCUGUCAUGGGGAGCAUUGACGCCCGGAUCUGACCUUUUGUGACGAUUCUGCGGUAGAGCAUGUAUGUUGGGACCCGAAAGAUGGUGAACUAUGCCUGAAUAGGGUGAAGCCAGAGGAAACUCUGGUGGAGGCUCGUAGCGAUUCUGACGUGCAAAUCGAUCGUCAAAUUUGGGUAUAGGGGCGAAAGACUAAUCGACCAUCUAGUAGCUGUCUG